rnacentral:rRNA from 1 species
UACAGAGGGUGCAAGCGUUAAUCGGAAUUACUGGGCGUAAAGCGUGCGUAGUCGGUUAUCUAAGUCGGGUGUGAAAUCCCCGGGCUCAACCUGGGAAUUGCAUUCGAUACUGGAUAGCUAGAGUUCGGCAGAGGGAAGCGGAAUUUCGGGUGUAGCGGUGAAAUGCGUAGAUAUCCGAAGGAACAUCAGUGGCGAAGGCGCUCAUCUGGCCCAAUACUGACGCUGAGGCGCGAAAGCUAGGGGAGCAAACGGG